UAAUGAUGCAAGUGAAAAAUAAAAUGAACAGAAGGAGUUUUCGACCAGUGAUUGUGAAUCUCUAAGCCUAAAACUCAUGUUUGUUUUUAUAGCGGUAAGAUCUAUCAAGUGGCAUGAAAAGAAGCCUUGAACAGAAGAAUCUAGGCCCGAUUAACAACUAGGCCCUGUCAAGUAACAGUUGAAUUAUCAAUGGACUAUUGGACUGGUGUUUUGAAGGUCCCAUUGACACCUACUAGCACAAGUGACUGCAAAGUUGCAGUACCUCUCUGCCUCUCAACCGCUUCCAAAACCCUUGCUUUGCCUGCUGCAAAUGCAAUUUUUUUUCAACGGUGAUAGAGUUGAAGGGACCAAGAAUCCAGUGGUUGAGAGAUUGUCUGGUUUGUAAAAAAAUAGCUGAAAUUUUGGGGUCUAAAUUCCGUGGUUGUGUUAAUGCUUAUGUCAUUGAGGCACCUGUUUUCAAUGGCAGUUUUUCUGUCUAUAAAGACUUUAUUCCACCUGUGAAUGGAUACGGGGAGCCAAAAUCGUAUAACCCAGUUGUAUAAUUUAUUCCGUCUGUGCUGAUAUUUUGGUAAAUUAUAGGGUUGUUCCGGCAUAUAUCAACUUGUUAACUAUUUUGUUUGCUGCGUUUACUGCUCUAUGAAUCCAUUAUUGUUUUGAUC